rnacentral:rRNA from 1 species
GUUGAGUACGUUUUUGGAGUGGUGAGCAAAAUCGUUGGAAAACGAUACCAUAGAGGGUGAUAGUCCCGUGUGCUUUACUGUGAAGAAGACAAUUGAUAUCGAAGAGUCGGAUUGUUUGGGAAUGCAAUCCAAAGUGGGUGGUAGAAUCCAUCUAAGGCUACAUAUAGGCAAGAGACCGAUAGCAAACAAGUACCGUGAGGGAAAGAUGAAAAGUAGUCCGAAGGGACAGUUAAAAGGGCGUGAAAGAGCCAAGGGGAAAGCGUUUGUUUUUUUAGUUGCGAUUGAAUGUUUCAGUUUCACGAUUGAGAACAUCAAUUAGCAAGUCCAUAUCGAUUAUUUAUAAGUCUUAAAAGGUUAGUAGGAUGACUUUGAAUUCAAAACUCAAAGUACCUGCUUUCAAUCAGGACGAAGAAUGAUCGAGGAAAGCCAGGUGAAGCCCUUUUUCCAAAGCGUAGUGGCGGAUGUUGAAUUGUGUUAGCAUGGAACUAUCUUAUGGGUAGGGAAAUGUGGGCGCUUUAUAAUUGAAGCUCUGCGCCGCGGCGGAAGUAGUGCCCACGUUGAAGGAAAUGGACCAAAAGAAAUAAACGACCCGUCUUGGAACACGGACCAAGGAGUGCAUCAUUCAUGCAAGUCGAAGAGAGUUAAACUCCUAGGCGAAAUGAAAGUGAAAGUGUACUAUCAGUACCACCCACGUAACAGUGCGGCAGAGCGUGAAUGGUGCGACCCGAAAGAUGGUGAACUAUGCUUGCCUCGGGCGAAGUCAGCGGAAACACUGAUGGAGGCUCGUAACGGUUCUGACGUGCAAAUCGAUCGUAGGAGGUGAGUAUAGGGGCGAAAGACUAAUCGAACCAUCUAGUAGCUGGUUUCCGUUGAAGUUUCCCUCAGGAUAGCUAGGGCAAUAGAGUAGUUUUAGUAGGUAAAGCGAAUGAUUAGAGGGUUGGGUGUGUGAAAGCAGUCACCCUAUUCUCAAACUUUAAAUGACUAAGAUAAUUGUGGCUACCUCGCGGAGCCCAAUUAGCGAAUACUACGCCCUAAGUGGGCCAGUUUUGGUAAGCAGAAAUGGCGAAGUGGGAUGAACCAAGCGAUAGGAUAAGGGGCCAAAGAAUAGGCACAUAUAGAUACCAUAAAAGGCGUUGUUUUGUUAAGACAGCAGGACGGUGGACAUGGAAGUUGUAAUCCGCUAAGGAGUGUGUAACAACUCACCUGCCGAAUGGAGCAGCCCAGAAAAUGGAUGGCGCUAAAGCCUAUCCCCGAAACCUAUCCUUCAAUGCAAAAGAUAGAAAAUAGCGUUGGAGAGUAAACGGACGUGGAGGUUGUAUAGAAGUUUUCGUGUGAACGGGAAUGGAACAUCCUCUAGUGCAGAUCUUGGUGGAAGUAGCAAAUAUUCAAAUAGAAACGUUGAAGACUAAAGUGGAUAAGGGUUCCGCAAUCACAGUGUUUGGAUGCGGGUAAGUCGGUCCUAAGACAUACGGGAAACCAUAUUUAAAGAAGGGUAAAUGGUUGUUUAAGGCCCAGUAUAUCAAUUGUUUCGGCAAAUGAGAUAUGAAGUCUAGAAUGGCUAGACCCUUGAUGGUCGAAAGGGAAGUUGGUUAAGAAUCCAACACGGACGAUGGCGCAGAGAGGAGGCCUUCUGGCAUUAAAAAUUCUUCGGAAUAACCUUUCAAUGAUGGUGACAUAAACGAACUUCACGACGGCGGGCCCAAAACACGGAAGAGACAUCUUCUCUUGUUAACAGACAAUCAGUUACGGAAACAAGUUAAUUGGCGAAGUAACAGACAGUCUGGAAGAGCCGAUUUUCGGAUCGAUCGUGUACUAGGGCACGCCCCUUGAAAAGUGAAGGGAGCAGCGUCCAUGUUCGCCGUACCCAUAACCGCAUCAGGUCUCCAAGGUUAGCAGCCUCUAGUUGAUAGAAUAACGUAAAUAAGGGAAAUCGGCAAAAUAGAUCCGUAUCUUUGGGAAAAGGAUUGGCUCUAUGGGUUGGUCUUUAACAAUAGUUUUAGACAAUAUCAACCAACAUAGAACUGGAACGGACAAGAGGAAUCUGACUGUCUAAUUAAAACAUAGCUUUGCGAUGGUCCCAACGGAUGAAGACGCAAAGUGAAUUCUGCCCAGUGCUCAGUAAGUCAAGUUGAUGAAAAUCAGGCAAGCACGGGUAAACGGCGGGAGUAACUAUGACUCUCUUAAGGUAGCCAAAUGCCUCGUCAUCUAAUUAGUGACGCGCAUGAAUGGAUCAACGAGAUUCCUACUGUCCCUAUUUACAAUCUAGCGAAACCACAGCCAAGGGAACGGGCUUGGAACGAUCAGCGGGGAAAGAAGACCCUGUUGAGCUUGACUCUAGUUUGGUGUUGUGAAAAAGUGUGAGGGGUGUAGGAUAGGUGGGAGGUCUAAUCUUUCGGGAAAGGGCCGACAGUGAAAUACCACUACCAUCAAUGCUUUUUUACUUAUUUGAUUAAGUGGGAAUGAGGUGGCGUUAUUUGAAUGAGUGGUCUUCGGAUUGUUCAGGAAAACAUCGCAAAACACUUCAUAUUAAAGAAUUAAUCCUACGUCAAAGACAGGGCCAGAUGGGGAGUUUGGCUGGGGCGGCACAUCUGUUAAAGAAUAACGCAGGUGUCCAAAGGGCAACUCAGUGAGAACAGAAAUCUCACGUAGAACAAAAGGGUAAAAGUUGCCUUGAUUUAAAUUUUCAGUAUGAAUGUAAACCAUGAAAGUGUGGCCUAUCGAUCCUUCAGCUCUCGGAUUCUGAGACAGGAGGUGACAGAAAAGUUACCACAGGGAUAACUGGCUUGUGGCAUCCAAGCGAUUCAUAGCGACGAAGCCUUUUGAUCCUUCGAUGUCGGCUCUUCCUAUCAUGAUGAAGCAGAGUUCAUCAAGUGUUGGAUUGUUCACCCAUAAAAAGGGAACGUGAGCUGGGUUUAGACCGUCGCGAGACAGGUUAGUUUUACCCUACUGAUCAACUGUUUUCGCAACAGUAAUGCAGCUAGGUACGAAAGGACCAGUUGUAUCAUGUCACUGUUAAGUGCGGUUGGCUGAAACGCCAGUGCCGCGAAGAUACACAUGACCGGAUAAUGGCUGAACGCCUCUAAGCCAGAAACCGAUCUGGAAGCGAAGACACUACUCGCUAAAAGGACCAAAAUACCAAUUGGAAGAGCCAGCAAGCGCGACAUUGACUAUUGU